ACCUCAGUGGUGUAGUGGUAGCACGCAUCACCGCUAUGGAUGAAACGGAAUUCGAUCCCCGCCUGAGGCC